rnacentral:rRNA from 1 species
UCCUUAGAUGUUCUGGGCCGCACGCGCGCUACACUGAUUCAUGCAACAAGUUUUGUCCUUGGCUGAUAGGCCUGGGUAAUCUUUGAACGUGAAUCGUGAUGGGGAUAGAUGAUUGCAAUUAUUCAUCUUCAACGAGGAAUUCCUAGUAAACGCAAGUCAUCAGCUUGCAUUGAUUACGUCCCUGCCCUUUGUACACACCGCCCGUCGCACCUACCGAUUGAAUGGUCCGGUGAAAUCUUCGGAUCUGAGAGAUGUCUGAUUAAUUUCGGACGCCUUUUGGAAAAGUUGCUUAAACCUUACCAUUUAGAGGAAGGUGAAGUCGUAACA